rnacentral:rRNA from 1 species
CAGGGAUUGCCUCAGUAACGGCGAGUGAAGCGGCAACAGCUCAAAUUUGAAAUCUGGCGCCCCCCGGCGUCCGAGUUGUAAUUUGUAGAGGAUGCUAUUGGGUUGCCACCGGUCUAAGUUCCUUGGAACAGGACGUCACAGAGGGUGAGAAUCCCGUACGUGACCGGCCAGGCGCUCUCUGUAUAGCUCCUUCGACGAGUCGGGUUGUUUGGGAAUGCAGCCCUAAAUGGGAGGUAAAUUUCUUCUAAAGCUAAAUACCGGCCAGAGACCGAUAGCGCACAAGUAGAGUGAUCGAAAGAUGAAAAGCACUUUGGAAAGAGAGUUAAAAAGCACGUGAAAUUGUUGAAAGGGAAGCGCUUGCCAUCAGUCUCGACGGCGGCUGUUCGGCCUCUCUUCUGAGUGGUUUAUUCAGUCGCCGCCGGGCCAGCAUCAGUUUCGGCGGCCGGACAAAGGCGCGGGGAAUGUAGCUCCCUCGGGAGUGUUAUAGCCCCGCGUGCAAUACGGCCCGCCGGGACUGAGGUCCGCGCUUCGGCUAGGAUGCUGGCGAAAUGGUGGUAAGCGGCCCGUCUUGAAACACGGACCAAGGAGUCUAACAUCUACGCGAGUGUUUGGGUGUCAAACCCGUGCGCGCAAUGAAAGUGAACGGAGGUGGGAACCGCAAGGUGCACCAUCGACCGAUCCUGAUGUCUUCGGAUGGAUUUGAGUAAGAGCGUAGCUGUUGGGACCCGAAAGAUGGUGAACUAUGCCUGAAUAGGGUGAAGCCAGAGGAAACUCUGGUGGAGGCUCGCAGCGGUUCUGACGUGCAAAUCGAUCGUCAAAUUUGGGUAUA